rnacentral:rRNA from 1 species
CCCUUAGAUGUUCUGGGCCGCACGCGUGCUACACUGACCGGCGCAACAAGCUUUUUUCCUUGGCUCGACAGGCCUGGGUAAUCUUCGAACGCCGGUCGUGAUGGGGAUAGAUCCUUGCAAUUUUUGAUCUUCAACGAGGAAUUCCUAGUAAAUGCGAGUCAUCAUCUCGCGUUGAUUACGUCCCUGCCCUUUGUACACACCGCCCGUCGCACCUACCGAUUGAAUGGUCCGGUGAAAUCUCGGGACGGCGGCUUGGUCGCUUGCGUCCGACUGCUGAAACUUGAUUAAACCAUAUCAUUUAGAGGAAGGUGAAGUCGUAACA